AGGUGACAUAUCACACCACCAGGUGUGAGUGUGAUUGACCGCGACGAGCCGUUUUGAAAACCGGCCUCUUCUGACAUCACUAGUGGGCGUGUCCUCCUAGAUGUGCUCUGGAUAGAUCAGUCUACCAGCCUGCCCGGUGGACUGGAGCUAACGUUGCUCAUCUAUCCGUCGCACAUCUAGUCGGCGUGGUGAAGGCUCACCGGUGGUGGGGGACAGGGGGCCUUUUGGGGUGUCCUCCUGGGGCCGGGGGCUGGGGCUGGCCAGACGGGGGCGCUUACAGCCGUCACAGAGCACCGGAAGGAGCGGGUUCUCCACGGAGCAAUGGCCUUUAAUGUCUAAUGUUGAGAGAACUGUAGUGAAGGGAGCUGGAGGAGAGGUACAGUUAGUCCUUCUUUAAUGUCUAAUGUUGAGAGAACUGUAGGGAAGGGAGCUGGAGGAGAGGUACAGUUAGUCCUUCUUUAAUGUCUAAUGUUGAGAGAACUGUAGUGAAGGGAGCUGGAGGAGAGGUACAGUUAGUCCUUCUUUAAUGUCUAAUGUUGAGAGAACUGUAGGGAAGGGAGCUGGAGGAGAGGGA
ensembl:lncRNA